AUAUUUUGUUAUUUAGUUAAAGUUAAUUUUGCUUUUAGUUGAUUGGCUGUUAUGAAUAAUUUUAUAUAUAAGUUUUUGCGUGUUUUAUAUUUUAUCUUAAGGAUAAUUAUUUUUUUAUUUUUAGUUUUUAAUUUUGGAUUAUCAAUAAGUGAUUUUAUUUCCAGUUAAUCUAUUUUAGAAUUGUAAAAUUUUGUGCCAGCAUAUGCGGUUAUACAAUUA
rnacentral:rRNA from 1 species